rnacentral:rRNA from 1 species
ACGCAUAUCCUACGGGAGGCAGCAGUGGGGAAUAUUGCACAAUGGGCGCAAGCCUGAUGCAGCCAUGCCGCGUGUAUGAAGAAGGCCUUCGGGUUGUAAAGUACUUUCAGCGGCGGCAACAGAGCUUUACAAUCCGAAGACCUUCUUCGCUCACGCGGCAUUGCUCGUUCAGGGUUGCCCCCAUUGACGAAAAUUCCCUA